rnacentral:lncRNA from 1 species
CAUGUAUCAACUUUUAUUUUGUUGAUCAAGAAAUGUAAAAGUUGUAAAUAAUCAUAUAUUUUGAGUUGGAUGAUUAUAAUGUAAAAAAAUUAUGGAUGAAAGGAAAAUGAAUGUAACAGUUUUAGUUUACUUGUAUUUGGUUAAUGUAAGGACUGAGAUUUUUUAUAGUGCAACUGAACUCUCUGUUGAUGUAAGGACCGAGAUUUUGGCAGUAUAGCUAAACUCUCAGUUGAUGAUGUUUUUGUGUGUAAUUUAAUUAUAAAAGCACUCAUCAAGUUUCAGGAGAAAACGAGUUAAAACGGAGAUUCUACGCGAUUUCCAAGUUUCACUUAAAGUGAAUAGUAACUCGGUUUUCCGGAAAAGUCAAGGUGGGAACUUGGCUUCUAGCGUGUAUCGGACUCCGUUCAUAGCAAUCCAAUAGCUCGUUUCGAAUGAUUCAGCUAUUCUGGGACUAUUGGCGCUGACGGAUUUUGAGUUUGACCAACGGAUUUCGAGAAAAUCUGAAAAUAAGUGUUUUAUAUGUAUUUGUGCGUAGUUCUUCUGUUGGAGAGAUGGAUCGAAUUUUGUCGUGAAUCCGCGAUGGAUCGAGGCGAAACAAAUGAUAGCUUUGUUGUCUUCGUCGUGCUAAUCGCACUAGUGUGAUCCGUUCGCAAAUCUGACGGACGGAUCUGCGGAGAUUGCGCGUUGAUCGAGGAGAGGUAGGUGAUGGCAAAACGGUAUUUUCGCAAAAGUUGCGAUAUUUUAUGUAUCGUUUCGCGUGAAACCGGGCGUGAAGGUGUGUUCGCGCGUUUUACACGCGCUGAGAAGGACUCAGUAUAAAAUACUGAGGUUUGGGGGG